rnacentral:rRNA from 1 species
GACGAACGCUGGCGGCGUGCUUAACACAUGCAAGUCGAACGGAAAGGCCCUGCUUUUGUGGGGCGCUCGAGUGGCGAACGGGUGAGUAACACGUGAGUAACCUGCCCUUUACUUUGGGAUAACUUCAGUAAACUGGGGCUAAUACCGGAUAGGAGCUCCUGCUGCAUGGUGGGGGUUGGAAAGUUUCGGCGGUUGGGGGUGAACUCGCGGCUUAUCAGCUUGUUGGUGGGGUAGUGGCUUACCAAGGCUUUGACGGGUAGCCGGCCUGAGAGGGUGACCGGCCACAUUGGGACUGAGAUACGGCCCAGACUCCUACGGGAGGCAGAAGUGGGGGAUAUUGCACAAUGGGCGGAAGCCUGAUGCAGCAACGCCGCGUGCGGGAUGACGGCCUUCGGGUGGUAAACCGCUUUCGCCUGUGACGAAGCGUGAGUGACGGUAAUGGGUAAAGAAGCACCGGCUAACUACGUG